rnacentral:miRNA from 1 species
AAGGGUGAGAGGGUGUCAU